rnacentral:rRNA from 1 species
GCANCNCNGUAUACNGAGGUGCNAGCGUNAUCGGANUACUGGGCGUAAAGCGCACGCAGGCGGUCUGUCAAGUCGGAUGUGAAAUCCCCGGGCUCAACCUGGGAACUGCAUUCGAAACUGGCAGGCUGGAGUCUNGUAGAGGGGGGUAGAAUUCCAGGUGUAGCGGUGAAAUGCGUAGAGAUCUGGAGGAAUACCGGUGGCGAAGGCGGCCCCCUGGACAAAGACUGACGCUCAGGUGCGAAAGCGUGGGGAGCAAACAGGAUUAGAUACCNUGGUAGUCCACGCUGUAAACGAUGUCGACUUGGAGGUUGUUCCCUUGAGGAGUGGCUUCCGGAGCUAACGCGUUAAGUCGACCGCCUGGGGAGUACGGCCGCAAGGUUAAAACUCAAAUGAAUUGACGGGGGCCCGCACAAGCGGUGGAGCAUGUGGUUUAAUUCGAUGCAACGCGAAGAACCUUACCUACUCUUGACAUCCACAGAACUUAGCAGAGAUGCUUUGGUGCCUUCGGGAACUCUGAGACAGGUGCUGCAUGGCUGUCGUCAGCUCGUGUUGUGAAAUGUUGGGUUAAGUCCCGCAACGAGCGCAACCCUUAUCCUUUGUUGCCAGCGAUUCGGUCGGGAACUCAAAGGAGACUGCCAGUGAUAAACUGGAGGAAGGUGGGGAUGACGUCAAGUCAUCAUGGCCCUUACGAGUAGGGCUACACACGUGCUACAAUGGCAUAUACAAAGAGAAGCGACCUCGCGAGAGCAAGCGGACCUCAUAAAGUAUGUCGUAGUCCGGAUUGGAGUCUGCAACUCGACUCCAUG